CAGUCGCCACGGUAAUACGAAGGGGGCUAGCGUUGUUCGGAUUUACUGGGCGUAAAGCGCACGUAGGCGGACUUUUAAGCCAGGGGUGAAAUCCCGGGGCUCAACCCCGGAACUGCCUUUGAUACUGGGAGUCUUGAGUUCGAGAGAGGUGAGUGGAAUUGCGAGUGUAGAGGUGAAAUUCGUAGAUAUUCGCAGGAACACCAGUGGCGAAGGCGGCUCACUGGCUCGAUACUGACGCUGAGGUGCGAAAGCGUGGGGAGCAAACAGGAUUAGAUACCCCCGUAGUCCCUGUCUCUUAUAC
rnacentral:rRNA from 1 species